CCCUACUGCUAUCGGGGGAGGACUAAAACAUGCAAGUCGUGCGUCUCCUAGCUAUGUUGGAGACGCGGCGUAUGGCUCAGUAACACGUGGCUAACCCACCCUUGAGACGGAGAAAUCCCCGGGAAACUGGGGUUAAUCCCCGAUAGGAGAAGACACCUGGAAUGGGUCUUUUCCCAAAAGGCGUUUAGGCCAUGCUUCUAGACGUCGCUCAAGGACGGGGCCGCGACCGAUCAGGUUGUUGGUGAGGUAAUGGCUCACCAAGCCUAUAACCGGUACGGGCCGUGAGAGCGGGAGCCCGGAGAUGGGCACUGGGACAAGGGCCCAGGCCCUACGGGGCGCAGCAGUUGCGAAAACUCCGCAAUGCACGAAAGUGUGACGGGGCUACCCCGAGUGCCGUCCGCUGAGGGCGGCUUUUCCCUGGUGUAAGGAGCCAGGGGAAUAAGGAGAGGGCAAGUCUGGUGUCAGCCGCCGCGGUAAUACCAGCUCUCCGAGUGGUAGGGAUGAUUAUUGNGCUUANAGCGUCCGUAGCUGGCCUAGCAAGUCUUCCGUUAAAUCCACCGAUUNCAUCGUUGGACUGCGGGAGAUACUGUUGGGCUAGGGGGCGGGAGAGGCCGACNGUAUUCUCGGGGUAGGGGUAAA
rnacentral:rRNA from 1 species